rnacentral:miRNA from 1 species
UGUUUCUGUUAGAGUACAGCUGGC